UACGUAGGGUGCAAGCAUUAUCCGGAGUGACUGGGCGUAAAGAGUUGCGUAGGUGGUUUGUUAAGUGAAUAGUGAAAUCUGGGGGGCUCAACCUCACAGACUAUUAUUCAAACUGGCAAACUCGAGAAUGGUAGAGGUAACUGGAAUUUCUAGUGUAGGAGUGAAAUCCGUAGAUAUUAGAAGGAACACCAAUGGCGAAGGCAGAUCUCUGGGCCUAACUGACGCUGAGGAGCGAAAGCAUGGGGAGCGAACAGG
rnacentral:rRNA from 1 species